UACGUAGGGAGCAAGCGUUGUCCGGAUUCACUGGGUGUAAAGGGUGCGUAGGCGGGACAAUAAGUCAGUGGUGAAAUCUUACGGCUCAACCGUGAAACUGCCAUUGAUACUGUUGUUCUUGAGUUCGGGAGAGGUUGAUGGAAUUCCAGGUGUAGCGGUGAAAUGCGUAGAUAUCUGGAAGAACACCAGUGGCGAAGGCGGUCAACUGGCCCGAAACUGACGCUGAGGCACGAAAGCGUGGGUAGCGAACAGG
rnacentral:rRNA from 2 species